rnacentral:lncRNA from 1 species
UUGGAAUAUCAGAAAUAGAGGAGAAACUGAGGGAUAAAUUAUCUUUGAAAUAAUAAUGGUUGAGUUUUCCCAAAUUUUGCAAAACCAGAGAUCUAAGAUGCUCAGUGAACUGAGGAGAUUGAGUACAAGGAAAGCAUACUUGGACAUGUCAUCCUCAAACGGCUAAAGACAAGAGAGAAAAUCUUGAAAACUGCCAUUGGAAAAUGACAUGUUACAUACAGGACACAACACUUUGUAUUACUGCUGGUUUUACAUCAAAAACCAUGGAGACCAUCGAUGUGGAGCAAUAUCUUUAAAGUGCUGAAAGCAAAGCAAAACAAACAAACAAAAAAUAACUGUCAACCAAGAUCUGUGAAAAUAUCCCCUAAGAAUGAGGGCAAAAUAUAGGGAAAAUGAGAAAACUAAGAGGAUUUGUCACCAACAGACCUGCAGUUUAAAAAUAGCUAAAAUAGAUUGUUUAGGCUUAAGAAAAAUAAUAUGAAACAUAAACCUGAGUUUUCAAGAGAGAAUAAAAGUCAGUAUAAAUGGUAAAAAUCUUGGGCAAAAUAAAAACAAUUUUUAUUUUAAUUUCUUUAAAAUAUACAAGACAUUUUAAAGCAAAAAUUUCCGCAUCCUUUUUUGGGGGAUUGUAAAUGUGUGUAGUGGUAAUGUGUAUGAUAACUAUAGCAAUAACAAACAGAAGGAGGCGGGGGUGAAUACAAUAACUAUGCAAUUUCACUCUCUAUAGAUCUAAAAUAAAGUGAUAGCACAUGGACUCCACAAAGACUGAAAAUCGAGGAUAUUUAUUGUAAAUCUUACAGCAAAUAUGGAAUAACACAAGUUAAUAUAGUUAAAAGAUGAAUGCGCUAAUUAAAAUGAAAUUCCAAAAAAAUUAUUAAAACAUUCCACAAGAAGGCAAGGAAGAAAAAAAACAGAGAAACAAAGAUUGAGGGACACAAGAAAGCAAAUAACAUAUUUCUAUAGAAGGUGGUAGAAAAACAGAACUAUUGAAGUUAGGAUAAAAGUUUUUCACAGACAUCAUCAUCUCUGUACUCAUUUGGCAAAUAUAUUUUUUGAGUAUUUGCUCAUAUGUUAGACUCUAGAAUAGGAACUAGGAAUCUACAAAUGAAAUAGGCAGUGUCCAAUCUCAAAGAUCAGAGUUUAGUUGGGAGAAACAAAAAUGAGCAAUAGUCUGGCAAUACAAUAUGUUAAGUCUGAUAGUACCACAGCGCAGGAUGCUGUAGGUGCAUGGGAAGGACCAUUUGAUCAGAGAAAAGUGAUCAGUAUGGGGUCACUUGUCCAAGUUGCAGUGAAGCUGAGGUCCACUGGUGAGUGUUGGGGAGGAAUGGGCAAUAAAAACAAGUUAUCAAUUAUUAGCAAAUCCCAGGGCGGCAUACAUUUACCUACUUAGAAGUUAUUAUUAGACCGCACAGGCCUGUCAUCUGUAUUUUCACUUAUUUAGAAAUGUUUCUGUAAAAUAUAAAUUUUUAUUUCUUUUUAUAAAUAUAUAUGCUCAAUAUAGAAAACUCAGAAAAAAGAUAAAAGUAUAAAGUGAAAGUAAUCCUACCACCCAGAGAUUAGCACUGAAAGUCUGUUCACUUCCAUCCGGUAUUUGCAAAUGAUGAGAAAUAAUGAUCUUUUAAUAGACAUUUGGGCCUCCUUAUGUAAGACUUGCCUUCAUUCAUUUUUAUUUUUUAAAGAAUCCAGAGUGGCCUUCCUUUACCAAAAUUUCAGGUUGGUUCUCUUCUGUGAGAGAAUUUUACAUUUAUAUCUUGAGUCAUAUCUUUGAGCAGAGUGUAUCUUUGAGUAUAUCUUUGCACAGAGUUUCCUUGGCAAUAUUGUACUAUUUUCCUUGACUCAGUAAAAAUGGAGUAAAUUAAAAAUUCUACUGAUUGUUUUUAGAAAAAAAGUAAACUCUUCAUAAGAGGGUAAGAAGCAGAAAAAGUAGAAAACUGUUAUCUUUACAAGCCAUUCAAUAUUUGAACAAAGGGGAAAACUUAAGUUGUGAUUCUUGCAAAACCAGCUGUCAACAAAAACUAUAACCACUGUCAGUUUAUUGUACAUAUUUUAUUACAUAUAUGCUUCCAUGUAGAACUUUUAGUAAAGUGUAUACGCAUCUCUGAUACAAUGAAUUCACACCAACUUUAAUUGUUAUGCCGUACUCUCUUAUCUGAAUAGGAAACCAUUAUUUUAUUGUGAAGAAUUAUAUAAUGUGAUAGUUAAUUCUUCUCCUCGCUGGAUAUUUUAAAUAUUUUGAAAUAGGUAUAGUUCUUAUCUUUUCUAUCCUUUCUUUUUUUCUCUUUACAAAUUCAUAAUUACCCUGGUCAUGAGGCUUAUGUGAACUGAAUAUGUUUGCUAAAAUCAGGGCAAGUACUUCAUGUGAAAAGUCCCAUAGCUCCAGGAACACAGAAUUUAAAUUUUUAUAUUUUAAUUUAAAAAAAUGUACCUGUUUUGUUUCUUUAAUUGUCAUUUGCCUUAUGAUAUAAAUUACCUUGUAUAAAUGUUUCUUUCUAAAAUAUAAAUCCAGUUUUCCACAAUCCCACUUUUUAUUCCUUCUCCGUAUUAAUCCCAAAUUUGGAAUAAAAUUCAACCUCCAUAGAGUGACAAAGAUCCUCUUCAUGAUUUGACCCUAGUCAGUGACCUCACGACAUUCUUCAGGGACACACAGCCACCCUUUACCCAACUCCAAACACAAGCUUUCCAGAGUUUUCUUCAUUUUCUCCUUCCUUUUUCACUCUCCGUGGAAGAGGACUUCUGCCUCUUGCUACCCUUUUCCUAAGAAAACCCUCUAUAUUGUCAUAUAAACCCUUCUCUGACUCUCCAAGAAUAAUGGGUGACUCUUACAUCCAUUUCUAAUAAUUAUUUUUAUAGGAAAAAUGUGCAUAAAAUCAAUUAUCCAAACAAUAUCAUGAAUGGAUUUAUCAAAAUUAUAUGUUGUCUGUGCUAAAUAUUUUAAUAUUCCAUGUGAUGAAAUAGAAGGUUUGUGUUUUAUUCAUGAAGUAGGUUCAUUUUGAAUGAAUGAGUAGCUGGGUAAAUUAAUGAACAAGUGGUAAUGAAAUUGUUGAACAUUAACCAUGGUUUUAGUUAAACAUAAAGUUCCCUAACAAAAGUAGCUUAAAAUGCAUUUGAUAAAUUUAACAGUUUCAAAUUGAAAAAAAAAACUCAUUUUAAUGUGAAUAAAGAUGAAAAUAAAAUGUAUCACAAUAUUAAAUUCUCUGAGAAAUAUUCAUUAGUUUACAAAAUGCUGGGUUUUGUUUCUACCAAAAUCUACUGCAAUUCGGUAAUCACUUUCAAAAUCUCUAAAUUACGCCUAACUUGAA